rnacentral:rRNA from 1 species
CCUACGGGAGGCAGCAGUGGGGAAUAUUGGACAAUGGGGGCAACCCUGAUCCAGCCAUGCCGCGUGUGUGAAGAAGGCCUUCGGGUUGUAAAGCACUUUAAGCGAGGAGGAAGGUCUUUGAAUUAAUACUUCAAAGAAUUGACGUUACUCGCAGAAUAAGCACCGGCUAACUCUGUGCCAGCAGCCGCGGUAA